AUGGCUCGGCUGGCCCUCCUCUCCGUCUUCUUCUUUUUGCUCAUCAUCACCGGCCUUGUGGCUGCCGCUCCGUCCAGUGGGAAGGUCGGCAAGAAGGUGACCAUGACCGUCCAGUUCCCGCCUGCCGACUCGCCACCGGGGGAGAUGAUCACGAUCUCAACGCACUACGUCCGCGAGGACGGGGUGCACGACAGCCACGUCCAUGUCGACUGCGACGACCACGAGCCCCAGCUCGGUUCCGCCGCAAAAUAUCUUGUGAGGAGCCUGGAGAAGAUACGAGAUGAGGAGGCGUCUCCAUCCGAGGCCUACAACAUGCCCAGUCAGUGGAUGGACGUUCUCUUUGAAUUGGUCUCAGGGAAAAUUAGGCGCGAUUUACUUUAUUAUCGUAGUAUUGUCUCUGCAAGGAGCUCCUUCGCUCGUGCGAACAAUCAAUCGGUCUACUGA
rnacentral:rRNA from 1 species